GUCAAGAUUUUUAUAAGCCACCUAGGGGAUGGCUUGGCUCCAGCAGCGAUGACGGACGUGGCAAGCUGCGAUAAGCCCGGGGUAGAUGCAUGUCGAUCUUUGAACCCGGGAUUUCCGAAUCACACGGCAUGAAUAGUGCCGUGAGCCAACGCGUCGAACUGAAAUGUCUUAGUAGACGCAGGAUGAGAAAUCAAACGAGAUUUGCUGAGUAACACGAGCGAAAGGCAAGGAGGGCAAACCGAAUUCCAAUGUGCAAAUGUUGGUAGAUGUGGUCAGAUUAGUCUGGGAAUGCGAGUAGAAGGUUUUGGAAAAAACCGCCAUAGAGAGUGACAGCCUCGUAAGCGUAGCAAUUUUAGAUAUGCCGGAAUGAGUAGCGCGGCCUGAGUACGUCGCACGA
rnacentral:rRNA from 1 species